rnacentral:rRNA from 1 species
UGGGGAAUAUUGCACAAUGGGCGCAAGCCUGAUGCAGCCAUGCCGCGUGUAUGAAGAAGGCCUUCGGGUUGUAAAGUACUUUCAGCGGGGAGGAAGGGAGUAAAGUUAAUACCUUUGCUCAUUGACGUUACCCGCAGAAGAAGCACCGGCUAACUCCGUGCCAGCAGCCGCGGUAAUACGGAGGGUGCAAGCGUUAAUCGGAAUUACUGGGCGUAAAGCGCACGCAGGCGGUUUGUUAAGUCACAUGUGAAAUCCUCGGGCUCAACCUGGGAACUGCAUCUGAUACUGGCAAGCUUGAGUCUCGUAGAGGGGGGUAGAAUUCCAGGUGUAGCGGUGAAAUGCGUAGAGAUCUGGAGGAAUACCGGUGGCGAAGGCGGCCCCCUGGACGAAGACUGACGCUCAGGUGCGAAAGCGUGGGGAGCAAACAGG